UCGUAGGGCUUCGGUCCUGUCGAGAUAGCGUCCUUGCCUAUUUUUUGGAGUACCUUUUCGUUUCCUCGGCAGGCUUGCCUGCCACUGGGGACCCUUUAAACUCUUUGUAAAUACAGCAUCUGUCUGAAUAAACUUAAUAGUUA
rnacentral:misc_RNA from 1 species